GAAGAGAAAGGAGAGAGCCAGGAUGAUGAGGACGUGAUUCCUGUGUCACCCGAUUCCGGCUUGAAUGCCGACUCUAACCACCUACCAGCCAGGUGACCUUCUGUCCCCUCACCAGCCUGACCUUCUCAUCUGGAACUUUGGAAUUCACCAAAAUAGGAACCGAUCUGAAGAGAGGAGCUUUAUGUGUGGAAGCCCAGGACUUGGGAGGCAGGGAGACUUGGGACCGAGGCUGCCGUGGGGACCCGUGCACUUGAUUUCCACUGAUGGAAUGAACAAAAUCUGGACCGCAGAGGAGCCUAAUUCUACUCACGAUGCGAACUGCCUUUUUAAAAGGCUUCAAAAGGGACCUUGAGAGGAUGGCUGAAGCGACCCUCAUCAUUUUACAGUUCUACACCGCGUGCCCUGCGUCUGCAGGUUGGGUAUGCGGCCCCUUCCCCAAGAUGAUGAAUUCACCAGGGGCCGCAUGGGCUGCUGAGAACAACUCGCUUUUGAAUGGAUUCUCGUGUGGCUCAGUCCAAACAUCACCAUCAGCUGGAACUGGGAAGCAGAAUCGUUUGUGUUUUGUUUUUCCCAAUGGCGUCCAUUUCAGCUCAACAGCUCAGUUCUUGGAAAAGCCUCUUCUUCUUGACUCUGGAGAAGAUACACUUCCCUGGACGUCUAAAAUUGAAUAAGGAAACAAGUUAAUGAGUAUAUACGUCUUUAAAAAGGCCCCUGUGACCCCCCCCCACCCCAACUUCAGUCUUAAUUCCUCUGUCUGUUUCAGGUGUUUUUCCUGUUUUGCUGUCUGAGCAGUAUUUCUGGGCUCUGCGUUAUGAGGAGCAUCGAUCCCUGUGAAUUCUGUGCCCCAGGAGCUUCCCUAAGCUCAUUUGGAGAGUUUCUUUUCUGCUCUUUUUGCAUUAUUUCAGCUAAAGAGGAGUAGAAAUUGGUAUUUACUCUAAAUGCUUUGGCCAUGGGCUCUCAACUAAGCAAGCAACCCCUCCCCAACAAAACUAAAAGAUAGAAUUUUAACUUGCUUUAAAGGCUACAGUUGGGUUUAGAAUCCCCCAAGUAAAGUCAUUUUUUGACUCUGCUCUGACUUAAAUUUUCUUGCCUUAAAAAAACCCCAAAACACAGUUUCAUUAAACGAUUGCUCCCUUUUUUGGCCAGGAGGAUAGGAAACCAGUUACAGAAACUGUUGGCAUGUUUUGCAAAGAGAAUCUCAGCAAAAAACCUCUUAAAGUUUACUCCAGGGAGGUGGGGAAUGGGAGGGUUCCCUGUGCAUUAGUGACCCAGUCCUGCCUGGAGGCAUUUCUUAUCUGGGCAAAAAGCCCCUAUGCGCAGUGUGGUGAAACUUGCAAAUGACACUGUCACCUUUCUCAAUGGACUAGUAUGGCCCAGAGCUCACCAGCUCACCGGAGGUUGCGCCACAUAACCUGGCUAGUGUUUGGAAACAAAGGAAUAACCAGCUGCCUGGCUUCCUUGAAUUAUCCCACGUUCUUUGAUGGUUUUGGUGGAGAGAAAGCCAUCGCCUGCCAAGAGCUCCCCUGAAGGGGUUUUUCCUGAUUUGUGCCAAGUUAAGCAUUCCGACAUGAAGCAGCACGAGUUCAUGCUCAACUGCGUGAGUCACAGACACCAAGCCAUCUCCAGGUUUGGGCUGAAGAAUGUGAUGUAGCUGCAAGGACACGACCUGUGUAUGGUCUUCAUCUGAAACCUAGCACCCGGGCAGGGCAAGCUGAGAACAGGCAGGCACCAGCCAUCUAAGGGCCCCUCAAAUCUGGUUUUUUAGAGAGAUUUUCUUCCUCCUGAACCCAUUUUCCAAAUGCUUCAUUGCCAAAGCCAUGGUUUUAUUUGCCUUAGGUGCAGACUUGUCAAGAGACUAUAGGCAGUGUUCCUCCAUUCACAUGUGUGCUGGGUUUGUGAGCCAGUGUGGAUGUGUGGAUCUGUGUUGUCCAUGUGUCUGUCUGUAAGUGUGUUAUUUGAAUGUGUGCAUAUACCUAUUUAUUCCUGUAUAUAAUGUAUUUCUAUGUAUGAACGUGUUCCUGGUGGGUAUACAUACAUAUCUGAUGAUAUAUAUGUGUAUUUGGAGUGGACAUUGGUGAAGCCCUUAUCCUCCGUCUGGAAAGGAUCCCAGCUUCUCAGCUCCAAGCGAGCAGCUUGCCUGUCCCACCACCUCCCAGUGUGCCCCAUCACUCACCAACAAGGUACAAAGGCUGGCCCCCUUUCUGCAAGGUAGAACCGACCGUAUGGUGUAAGGCACGCUCUGGAGAUCAGGACAUGACUCGCCUCCAGCUGAGACCAAUCCUCGCUCAGCUCCCGGCUGCCCUGUUCUUUUCUUCAUCCCUGCCCCCCAGGGGCCCUCCCUAAGUGUAUUUCAUGCAUCAGAAUCCCUGUCUCAGGCUCUGCUCUAGGCAGCCUGGCUUAAGGCAGUACUUUUAUAUAUGUGUAUGUGAGUGCAUAUGUAUACACAUGUGUGCACGCAUGCAUAUGUGUGGGUGCCCACAAA